rnacentral:pre_miRNA from 1 species
ACAACAUUCGGAUCGUCGGUCUACCCAACAAUUUCAACCAGGUCGGUAGAAGAUUUUCACUUUGUCAU